AAUAUUGCACAAUGGGGGAAACCCUGAUGCAUCAACGCCGCGUGAGCGAUGAAGGCCUUCGCGUCGUAUAGCUCAGUCCUAAGGGACGAUUAUGACGGUACCUUAGGAGGAAGCCACGGCUACUUACACGCCAGCAGCCGUCGUAAUACGUUGGGGGCAAGCGUUAUCCGGAAUCAUUGGGCGUAAAGGGUGCGUAGGUUGUCCUAUAGGUCAGAGGUCAAAGGAUACGGCUCAACCGUAGUAAGCCUUUAAAACUGUAGGGCUUGAGUGAAGGAGAGGAGAGUGGAAUUCCUAGUGUAGCGGUGAAAUGCGUAGAUAUUAGGAGGAACACCAGUGGCGAAGGCGACUCUCUGGACUGCAACUGACGCUGAGGCACGAAAGCGUGGGUAGCGAACA
rnacentral:rRNA from 1 species